rnacentral:piRNA from 1 species
UUCAUAUGGAAUGGUGAAGUGUC